rnacentral:snRNA from 1 species
CCUGUGCAAGGACAGCAUGUAAAUUUGUGAAGCAUCCCAUAUUUU